rnacentral:pre_miRNA from 1 species
CUGUAGGAGUUUCUACCAGUACAGCUGUGCCAGUGAGGGGCCUGAAGUGGUGUGAUUCCUGACUGACAUUGCUGUGCUAGCAGAAGCUCCUAGUA